rnacentral:lncRNA from 1 species
UGCAAGGUUGGAAAAACAUGGGUCUAUUCCUUGAACAGAAGGCCUAAGAGGAAAGAGAACUCCGAAAAAUUUAACUUACACAUAAAUGGGAUGAUAAACUGCUGAAACCAGAGGAGGAAGCUCAUGAGCCCAUAACAGAGCACAGAGUGAGGCAGGAAAAAAGAAAAGUGUGGUAGAGUUCUAGUGGUAAGAGGCAUGGAUAUUAACCCUUUGAGAAGAGUCUGUUUCUGAAAGAAAAACAACCAGAACAGGAGCCAGGCUUUGCAAAUACAAGCCCUGGCUACUGUGUAAUUGAAUUAGGCUCUCGAUUGCUCAUGGAGUUAGAAUUGGCAUCCUUGGGACCGCAGUGCGGAGGACAGGAACUCGGAAGGGAGAGACAUAUCGUGUUGACUUUAUAUAGAAGAAAAGAAAGAAUACGACCUUAAA